CGCUUAACACACGCAAGUCGAACGGACUUUAUCUUUCGGGAUAAAGUUAGUGGCGCACGGGUGAGUAACGCGUGGGGACGUGCCCAUGGGUGGGGGAUAACUAAGGGAAACUUUAGCUAAUACCGCAUAAGCCCUGAGGGGGAAAGAUUUAUCGCCGAUGGAGCGACCCGCGUCAGAUUAGGUAGUUGGUAGGGUAAAGGCCUACCAAGCCGACGAUCUGUAGCUAUUCUUAGAGGAAGAUCAGCCACACUGGAACUGAGACACGGUCCAGACUCCUACGGGAGGCAGCAGUGGGGAAUAUUGGACAAUGGGGGAAACCCUGAUCCAGCAAUGCCGCGUGAGUUAUAAGGCCUUCGGGUUGUAAAGCUC
rnacentral:rRNA from 1 species